AGCGGCAGCUUAACACAUGCAAGUCGAACGGUAACUCUUGGUGCUUGCACCAAAAGACGAGUGGCGGACGGGUGCGUAACGCGUAUGCAAUCUACCUUUUACUAGGGUAUAGCCCAGAGAAAUUUGGAUUAAUCCCCUAUAAUAUCAUGAAAUCGCAUGGUUUUAUGAUUAAAGCUUCGGCGGUAGAAGAUGAGCAUGCGUCCUAUUAGUUUGUAGGUGAGGUAACGGCUCACCUAGACUACGAUAGGUAGGGGCCCUGAGAGGGGGAUCCCCCACACUGGUACUGAGACACGGACCAGACUCCUACGGGAGGCAGCAGUGAGGAAUAUUGGACAAUGGACGAAAGUCUGAUCCAGCUAUGCCGCGUGCAGGAUGACAGCCCUACGGGUUGUAAACUGCUUUUAUACAGGAAGAAAAACCCCGACGUGUCGGGGCUUGACGGUACUGUAAGAAUAAGGAUCGGCUAACUCCGUGCCAGCAGCCGCGGUAAUACGGAGGAUCCAAGCGUUAUCCGGAAUUAUUGGGUUUAAAGGGUCCGCAGGCGGUUUUUUAAGUCAGAGGUGAAAUCCUACAGCUCAACUGUAGAAUUGCCUUUGAAACUGAAAGACUUGAGUUAUUGUGAAGUGGUUAGAAUGUGUGGUGUAGCGGUGAAAUGCAUAGAUAUCACACAGAAUACCAAUUGCGAAGGCAGAUCACUAACAAUUAACUGACGCUCAGGGACGAAAGCGUGGGUAGCGAACAGGAUUAGAUACCCUGGUAGUCCACGCCGUAAACGAUGGAUACUAGCUGUAUGUCUACCUCAGGUAGAUGUGUGGCCAAGCGAAAGUGAUAAGUAUCCCACCUGGGGAGUACGA
rnacentral:rRNA from 1 species